rfam:Ricinus communis cultivar Hale ctg_1100012355475, whole genome shotgun sequence.
UGCUCAUGAUGUGGACAAUGCCUCAAAAGAUCCUUAUAUCUCUCAUAAACAUCAUACAAUGUUUCAUCCCUUUCCUGUCUAAAAUUUGAAAUUUUGGACCUCAACUU